UUCAAGUCCGAUACCGGUGCUUCGGGCCGCCUUGCCCCGCCGAUGGUGCCGGUCGCCCGCGGUGAUUCAUUUUGCUUGCGGUGUCGUUCCCGGCAUUCACUCGGUAGGGUGGCGUUGCUCUGGACCCGGCGGGCCGCACUUCCUCCCUAGUAGAAACGUCGCGACCCGUUGGGUGCCGGUCUAAGGCCCGGGAUGGCAGACUGUAUGCUUUGUGGGGGUUCCCACAGGCAUGCGGACUCCUGGUGACCCGGCCGGCUGCCCGACGGUAUGACCAGAGGAGGCGAUCCGCUAUGUGAAAAACACUUUGUGUGUGUAGCGUCCGGCCCGGCGCCGACGCGUGCGGGUGAAGGUGCAAACCGUGGGUGUCCGUGCAAAGCACGGCCCUGGCCCCGCUGCGUUGUCGGAAUGCUGGUGUCCUCGGACUGGAUCGAUACUCCCGUCUGCGACGACCACCUUCGGAU
rnacentral:rRNA from 1 species